ensembl:lncRNA
UUUUUUUUUUUUUUUUUUUACCCCCCACUUUGUUUCUUUAUUCAUUAUUUGACACCACCUACAAUUCAUCACAUCAGCUAUCUUAUCUGGAGGGGGUUAGAUUUCCGGUGUAGCCCAAACCAUAGGGUCAACUUCUGCAUCUGCUUUUUCUGAUAAUUUAUGCAGGGUUACUACAGUUUCAGAUUUGCUUUAUCUCUUGGCUAUAUUAAUUGGCAUUCCCAAUUUAGCCAUUAAAUCUUCUCCCAAUAAAUUACAAUCACAAUUUGGUACAUACAAAAACUUGUGCAUCUUAAAUUUGUCUCCCACAUUGAUUAACAGUGUUUGAAGGAGGCGUACCCUUUCAUCUUUCCCACUGACUCCUUGAAUUACUAAAGAUAUCAUCCUUCUCUUCACUGGACUUUUUCCUGAUCAGGGGCUGCCUCAAGACUGGCUUGUCUCUGUAGACAAUUUCUCAAACAGUGCUCUCUUGGUCUACAUCCCCAGCACUGAUCCCUGGCUUAGGUCAGGGAGAUUCCUGUCUUGUUAUGGGAUAUUCAGCUCCUCCUCCACUUGGGGAUCGCCUGAACCCUCUCCGACCCUCCCCUCCCUUCCUCAAGGUCUUACAGGUCCCUGCACCCCUCCCCAAGGAGGCUGAAGAGAUAACUGGGUCAUCACUCUAGCCCUCGUUUUCACUUUUUCCUCAUGCUGUCUCCUGUCUCUGGCUGUUCCAGAAUUUAGACAACAUGAAGGGGCUAUCCAGGGGUAUCAAGGAGUCAUCACCCUCCUUGCUGACGUUCCAUUCCUCAUCUUACUGCUGCACUCCCUCAAGUGUCCUUCCCUUUUUACACUCCCCAGUCACCAUUUCAACUCACCAAUGAGAUUUCUUCACAGAGUCUCUGGCUCCUCCAUUACCUUCCUUAUCUUUCUUUAUGGACUUCCUAGACUGUCAUCCUGUCUGUCUCUGGGAUGGUCCUGAAAACUCAGUCCCCUAGUAUUGAUGAACUCCAAAAAUCAGUGAGGGAGCCCAUCAGCUCACUCAGACAACUGCUGACUCCACAGUAGACAGAUCCUAGAUGAACCCCCAAGUUGUUGGGAAAAUUUUAUUCAAAUGAUCAGACAAAGGAGCCUGGGGCUUUAUUUGAAUAAAGGGAGAGUCCACUGGGACAUGCCCUGUGGGGUCUCUCAAAGUAUUGAGUGACAGAGCCCCUCUUUUAUCCCUGUAUCCCAAAACUAGCGAGCUCUUCCAGCCUUCCCACUGGCUAAGGUGAUACAAGUUACAAUAGUAUUGUUAAGCUUGCCUAGUGAUCACUGAUGGAUACCCCUGCCCUGCGAUUUGUGUUUAGGUAACAGGAAGAGCUGUGUCUCUGAACCAAGGAGACAAGUAAGCUCUGUUGAGUCUUUGUACCAAGGAAAUAGGAGAGCCUGUUUAGAAACAGUCUCUGAAUCUGUAACAUACUUCUGGGAAACUUCUGCAUAUGUAACAGACCUCUGUGUAUAUGAACUGAAGAUCUUUUGUGUAAGCUAUGUGUGAUAGCAGGAUUGCCCCCAUGCAUCCAGCUCUAUCAAAGAAUGUCUGUUUUCUAACACUCCAGCUUGAGUCUUAGAGUUCCUGAUCUACCAUCUUAUGGUAUCAAAGGUACUCAGGGUUCACAUUCUUCUCUUCUCCUCAGUUGCUUAAAAGGAACUCAUCCCUCCCAGUAGGUACCCCCAUUUGUUUCCUUUGUUCAUACAUACUUUGUAAUCUGAAUUCAGUUUGUUGCUUUGUCCAACUAGAGUUAUCCCUUCUGUCCUGUCAAGCAAGUGAGAUUUGCAAGUAGUUGAUAAAGCCUAUCUCUUUGUUCUGCCAAGAAAGCAGAAUUUACAAAUAAUUAGCAAAGUAGCAUCUCCUGUCAUAUACCUGCAAGAUAAGUUUGUUUAACCAUUUUUUCCCCUCAGGUUUUAGUUUGCAAGGACACAUUAUCCUUUCCUUUUUCAUCUCACCACAAAAGUCCUGACAUCUGCAGACCUAUUAUGCCUCUGAGGUGGAAUUUCCUUACACCCCCAUGGUUUCAUUCAUGACCCCCCUUCAGUCUUGCCCUAGGGGCUGUGCCAGCCACCGGCACCUGUGCUCGCUGCAAAACCAGACGUUUAAAACUGGGGUCUUGGCAUACCACUUUGCAGUCGGUGCUACGGAGCGUGCCAGGAAACGCUGGAUGAGCUCAGUAACGGAGAAUCUGACUGCAAACGGGAGCAAACUAACGGGCUGCGCUACACAACCCACUUCUAGCGCACAAAGCAGUGAAAACAGACAGGAGGCGCUAGCUUCUUGAGGUACGGAUUUAUAGGCUCUGCUUUCGCAUUUUGGGCACUUUUCCUAACAGCAAGCCAAUACACGCGGCUGCAAACCGCAGAACAACCAAACGAAAAUCUGAGUAUAAAAGACUAGUCAAGUGCAGUAGUGGGAAGGGGGGAAAGAGAGAACGAGGAGAUCAAUCUGUAACUGACUGUGAACAAUCAAUUGAGACACCCCACUACCUUCGGACCAGCCGGCAACAAAAGCAACCAUCUCCAUAUUUAAAGCUCUUAUGUUCUAGUACUUCUCUGUGAUGGUGGUGCUAUCUGGCUACCGAUGUAUAUACAUCCUAUCUUCUACUCCUCUUCCACUAGCAACAUACUCAUGUUUCUAAUUCCUGAGUUCGGAUAAAAGCCGCGAUUUCUUUUAAGUACAGGAGAAAAACCCCUCCAUUCCGGGCUGUCCGCCGCCGCACUGCACUCUGGGAAGCCAGUAUGCAAAUCUAGAGGCGCGUUCGAACGCUCGCCGCUCGCUUUCUGCUGGGAUUGGCGGCGCGGAGGGUGAAGCUGCGCGCAGCGAUGCUUCUGGCCGUGCCCCUUCGUUCCUCGUUACCCUUUCUCAUUUGUUCCUCUACCUUUUUUCUGCAAUAUCAACUCUGGCAAAGUUUAUCCCAAGCGGGCAGCUUUUCCACAAGAAUGGCUUCGUGUAAAUACAGCGUGGUUUAUGUGGGGUUUUUUGUUUGUCUGUAAAUGUUAUUUCUCAUGUUAAAAAUCCUCUAAUGGUCCUCCAUGGAAAAUAACUUGAAAAUGAAUGCAGUGUAAGAGAGAGGAAGGAAGGAGGGAAGGAGGGAGGGAUUAAUUGUAGACAGCAGCCACUUGCUUUUACUGUGUUUUCCUAAAGAAGUUAAUCUUGUGGGAUUGCACCUGUGUGCACAUACACGUGCUAGCUGUACACAUCUCCUUCCAUCAGCAGAUUUCACAGUUCUUAGAGUCAGAUAAUCAUCUGAGUUAGAAGGGACCUUUAAAGGUCAUCUAGUCCAGCUCCCCUGCAACAGAGAGAAGCAUCUACAGCCAGAUCAGGUUGCUCAGCCAGAAAUACUUCGACUUGUAUAAUAAUGUUAAUGAUUAUUUGUAUAAUAAUGUUAAUGUCCCCACUGACAGACUGUAAAGAAGAUGCUCAUUAAGGUAUUGGAUACCUUUAGGCUGCACUUUAUUCCCAGUUGUACCUGAUUUAAUCUUGUAAAAGACAAGAUAGAUUUCCCAUCCCAUGGCCUUCUCUGACUGUUUUCUCUUUUAUGCAUGAAUUUUUGCCCUUGAAUCCCUAUAGAAGACAAGUGGAAUCUCAAAACCAAUUUAGUUUCUAGCAACUUAGAGAAAGGGAAUUGCUGGACACCCUGUUGUAGUGAACCCUGCAGUUUUCAGAAGAAAUUUUUUUUAAAAGCCCAGAGUGAAAAAAAAGGCUGUGUUUCUGCAUCAGUUGUGAGAGGAUGCAAGGCUCAGUUUUCUCCUCAGGACCAACUUGCCAGCCAAAGCUGGUCCUUUCCUCCCGAACUAUUCUGUUUUAUGUGCCCAGGCUACAUGUUGUUUUGGUGCUCACCACCAGCUUGGUACUUCAAGCUUCCAGUGCAUAUGCUAGAGAUUGACUACCUAUCCCUCACCUGUGUUCUCAUAAUGUCUCCUACCAGUCUCUUCCCAGAACCAUCUACUUUUUUUUUUUUUUUUUUUUUUCCCAUUUGCUGCCCUGUAAAUUGCAUCAACAAUUGCUAUUACGUGACCAAUUGAGAGGAGUCCAUGUGACAGUAACAAAAUCUCAUGCAGUAAAUAGUUGAAAAAUUUUUAGGCUCCCUUAUGAUGGCACAUAACUAUGGGCAGAAGUAUGUGACAGGCAAAGCUGACUAUGACAGGAAAGGAAACUCUCCUCAACCCUCAAGCAGAAAGAUAGCUGAGCAGUAGGUGUAAUACACUUCAGUUUGUUUUGAGGGGCUGUGUUUUCAUAGCAGAAACAUGCUGAAACACAGAAGGUGGUAUAGAAGAGAGGCUACCUUUUCUGUAGUUGGUCUGGAAUCGUAUGAUAAAUGUUCUUUCUUUUCUUUAAUACUAAAAAUACCUAUCUGUUGAGAAGAUAUGUAGUAAAAGGGUGAAGUGCUUCAUUGUUUGAAUGGAUUAUUAAUAGCAAUGCUUUUGUUUUGAAAUAAAAGCUGCAGUAUUAUUAACUAUCCCAAACUAAAACCUUUGUAACUGAUUUUUAUCUUAUGUUUUCAGAACAUGGACUACAAUUAAAUAUAGUCAAAG